CAGAGGAUAGUUUAUUUAAAAUGUUAAUUUUGGGGAUUAAUGAAAAGAUAUUAGGAUCUUUUCUCUGA
rnacentral:tRNA from 1 species